rnacentral:lncRNA from 1 species
UUACAUAUAUUUUAAUGGAAACAGUUUUGAACAGGGGCAAGCUUGUAUUGGCUGGAGUUUGACUAUAACAGCACAAUUUAAAUUUAACAAUUUAAUCAGUCUAGCUAUUUAUGUUCCCCUUGAUUGUCAGAGGUAGAUCACUACACUUUCAGCUGUCCAGCUCAUUCAUACAGUAUUUUGUCAAUUCACAUUUCAGAGGCUGUUGAAAUUGAAGCUUGUUCACAAGAGGAUAUUGAAGAUGCAAGUAUGGCAGAUCAGGGUUCAGAAGAUGAGACCAUCACCACACCACCAUGCAAAAAUGCAAGCACACCAGAAGAAUCAGACGACGAGGACAGCACCACAUCCCUACAACAGAUCCCUUCAAAAAAGAGAGGUAAAAGAACUGUUGUCAAAAAAAGCUGGACAACGGAAGAAUGUGGUGCAGUCGAACGUCAUCUAAAAAAACAAAUUAUCAUGAACCAAGUCCCAGGGAAGGAGGAAUGUUUGCGCUGCAUCACUGCAGAACCUCAAGCCCUGAAAAAUCGCGACUGGAGGGCGGUGAAAUAUUAUGUCAAGAACAGAAUUACUUCUCUGCGGAGAAAAUUAGAGUGAAAGUAUAAUUUUUUUUUCUAUAAUUUCUUUUUUUUUUUCAAUGAAAAUACUCCCUUUCACCCUGUUAAGGUUGUUUGAGUCCUUUGAGUUAAGGUUGGUGAAGUCAUAACUUUUUAAUGGUUUUAUAUUUUGAGAUUUUUAUGUUUGAUGAUUUUUAUGUGAGUUUUAUAUUUUUGUUAUGUUAUUUCUCCUACAAUGACUGUUCAUUUCCAACAAUAAAUUCAUUAACUAACCCUUUACAGGCCGGUUUCUGUGACGUACACUCAUUUCUACACACAAAACAGCCCAAAAAUUAGAUAUUUUCUAAUUAGAGAUGGAUUUUCU